rnacentral:lncRNA from 1 species
UUGCAGAUGUCAUACCUCUGCUUUUCUUGAAUUUUAAUUCUUUUCUUUUUGAAAAGUCUUGUUUGUCCAUAAACACUAUGGCUUAAAACUUUGCAUGGCCGUAGAUACUGAAAGGACAUAGGUGAUAUAGUUUGGUAAAUUUUUAGAUUUUCUUUUGUCUAAAAAGCAAGUCAUUAUUGAUAGUAGUUAUUGUGUCAAGCAUAUUUUAUGUAAGAUGGGGUAGUUAAUUUGUUUAGGAACUAGGACAUUGCUUUUGCAAUCCAUUGCUUUUGUAAUAAGCUGCUAUUUUUCACCAGUUCUCUCCACUAUGCUCCUCAGGAGAUAGCACAGCUCUGUGUGGGUCUAAUGGAAACAAUCGUUUGCGAGUUUAUUCUGCAUUUACACCACACUGCUCUAGAGUUGGAGGUGGUAAGCUUCAUCAUGUUUUAUAGUUAAGGUUGUACUGUUAAACAAUAGCACAAUUAAGUUUAUAGUAGAAAUAGGGCUUAGAGCGUCACAUUUCCUAGUAUAUUUGCUAUCAUUGCCUUUUCUGAGAUGAGUAUGAGAACGGUAAAAUAAAAAUUCUCAUUUGCGUGAGAGUGGGUGUGUUUGAUGAUAGGGACCUUCAGAGCUGUCUCAGAUCAGCAUUUGGCUUUUUAGGUGGUUUGAACAUUGUGUAUCUCUGUUAAUCAUGGCCCCAUCUCUGUCCUGAAGCUGGUGUCUAACAAGUGUUCCAUCAGAUCAAGUGAUUUUUAGUAUCCAAAAGGGAAGCAGAGUCCUGUGACAAAAUCUGACAAGUAUAACCCUGCGCUGCUGAGACCCUUGAUAAAGCAGGGUAAAGAAGCACCUUUUUCAGCUGCUGUAUUUAGAUGGAUAGUUUUUUGCUUUUCUUUUGUUUUUGGUACUAAGAAUUAAUUAAACCAUUUGAUUAUAUGGACAGCUUUAUAUAAACAUAGGACCUGCAUUUUGAUUUAUUUGAGAAAUUCCGUUUGUUUGAUGCUGUUGUAAGCAAAAAUUCUCCCUUUCUGUCUGAAAUGGAAUGUGCUGUGACGUUAUUAGGUUUUGUUUGUUGAUAACUCAGAAAAUAGCGCACUGAGCAACUUUGUGCUCCUAGUAUGUCAACUGUUGUGGGGAUAGCUCAGAAUCUAUUUUAAGGCUGAGGGAUGGAUGAAACGGAUCCAUGUUAGGAGGUCAUGAUUAGAACCGUGUGCUGGUUUCUUUACAUGGAUGACUUGACGAUUUUUUUCUCCGUUCUUUAGUUGACAUUAAGGCAAUACAGUAGGGAUUUUAAAUGCAAGAUUUCCCUCCCCCCACCCCCUGCAAUGAUUUCUUUUAGGAAAUGUAUAUACCUCUUAAAAAAAUUGAGCUUUUUAAAUCUUGGAGCACAUAGACCGCUUACUUGAUGUCCAAGGAAUGAUUUCUUCCAGUAUCAUUUUCAUUUAAUAUUAAAAACAAAAUGAACAUAAACAAUAAGUUACUAUAGUUUGUCAUUUUCAUGUGGCUCUAUUAGGAAGAAAGUUAAUAAAUACAAACCAUUUUCUGUCUGGUGCUAUGUCUUAUGUAGUUAUCACAAUUGGAACUUAGAUCUGAUUUGUUUCGGUAUGCCUAGCUAGAAGUGAUUCACUCCAUGUGUACAAUUCAGAACUUGUAACAGACACUUUGAUGUUUAAAUUUUAAAUCACUUAUAUUCCUUUUGAUUUCUAGUUUUUUCUUAAAAUGCUUUUAAUCACAAUACGAAGGUGGAAUAAAACACUAAUACUUUAAAUACAUAAAGCAGUUUUGUAAUAAUCAGUGAAAGCUUUGGGCACUUACAGAACAAAGGUAAAUGCAUUUUCUUUCCUUUAAAAAUUCCCCUCUCCCCUUGUAAUAUUACUGUUUGUAGUACUUGUUCUGUAGGUGUUUAAUAUUUAUUUUACUUUAUUACCAUUGAUAUGGGUAGGAAUUAGAAAUAUAAAAUUCCUUUGCUUUUGUAGGGUUGUUUCUGACAUUCCUUAUGCCCAAAUGUCCAUCCAUAGUCAGAAACAUGUCAAUGCUUAUAUUAGUUUUUGCAAGCUUUGGCAUUAUGGAAUUAAUGUAGGUAAUUUUUUUUAGCCAUUUGCUUUUAAAGUCAAUAUAUAGGCUUUGUAUCAUUACUGUCAUUUUUAUGAGCAGAAUUUGUCAAAUUCAGGUUGUUUUAGAUCCUGUUCAAAGAAUAGACUGCC